AUUGAACGCUGGCGGCAUGCCUUACACAUGCAAGUCGAACGGUAACAGGUCUUCGGAUGCUGACGAGUGGCGAACGGGUGAGUAAUACAUCGGAACGUGCCCGAUCGUGGGGGAUAACGAAGCGAAAGCUUUGCUAAUACAGCAUAAGAUCUACGGAUGAAAGCAGGGGACCGCAAGGCCUUGCGCGAACGGAGCGGCCGAUGGCAGAUUAGGUAGUUGGUGGGAUAAAAGCUUACCAAGCCGACGAUCUGUAGCCGGUCUGAGAGGACGACCAGCCACACUGGGACUGAGACACGGCCCAGACUCCUACGGGAGGCAGCAGUGGGGAAUUUUGGACAAUGGGCGAAAGCCUGAUCCAGCCAUGCCGCGUGCAGGAUGAAGGCCUUCGGGUUGUAAACUGCUUUUGUACGGAACGAAAAGACUCUUUCUAAUAAAGAGGGUCCAUGACGGUACCGUAAGAAUAAGCACCGGCUAACUACGCGCCAGCCGCCGCCGUAA
rnacentral:rRNA from 1 species